GUAUGGGUGUAAUCUGGCUGCAACAUCUGCUACCCACCAAUUGCCAUGGUUGAUUUGGUUGAUCUGGUUGGUUAGGUUAGUGUCCCAACCCAGGCUGUGAGUUCAGCUGAAAGUGACCUUCCCUGAUAGAGGAGAACCAGUUUUCAGUUAAGGGUAUGAUAGUAGCUAUACUUCUGUACUACAACCUCCAGAUAAGCUUUUAAAGUCCAAAGCUACAUUUGUUCUAUCACAACAGACUCAGGCAAUUUUGAUAAACCAAU
rnacentral:snRNA from 1 species